AUGGCAGAGAACUUACAUCACCAGAAUACAGCGGAGGAGAUAAUUGAAACCAGCGGCGGCAGGUAUACGUUCUUCGCCGAGAGUCGCCGCGGUUUCCUGCUUCAAUAGUGCUUGGACGGAACCGGCGCUGGACCCGACCCCAGCCGCCGCUCAGAGCCAGCAGCCCUUCACCACCUCUUCACAGCGCCCUCGGUCGGCCCCAGGCCUCCGCCGCGACUCCAGCGCCGCGCCUCUCCUCAGCCGCCAGCCGUGCCUACCACGUCCCCCCUCGCAGGUGCGCCAGAACUACCACCAGGACUCAACCGCCAGAUCAACCUGGAGCUCUACGCCUCCUAUGUCUACCUGUCCAUGUCUUACUACUUUGACCGUGAUGAUGUGGCUUUGAAGAACUUUGCCAAAUAUUUUCUUCACCAAUCUCAUGAGGAGAGGGAACAUGCUGAGAAAUUGAUGAAGCUGCAGAACCGAAUCUUCCUUCAGGAUAUCAAGAAACCAGACCAUGAUGACUGGGAGAGUGGGCUCAAUGCAAUGGAAUGUGCUUUGCACUUGGAGAAAAGUGUGAACCAGUCACUUCUGGAACUGCACAAACUGGCCACUGACAAAAAUGACCCCCACUUGUGUGACUUCAUUGAGACUCAUUACCUGAAUGAGCAGGUGACAGCCUUCAAAGAACUGGGUGACCAUGUAACCAACUUGCGCAAGAUGGGAGCCCCAGAAUCAGGCAUGGCAGAGUAUCUCUUUGACAAGCACACCCUGGGAGAUAGUGAUAACGAGAGCUAAACCUCAGCCUGAAUUUCCCAUAGCCGUGCAAGUGACUUCCCUGGUCACCAAGGCAGUGCAUGCAUGUUGGGGUUACCUUUACCUUUUCUAUAAGUUGUACCAAAACAUCCACUUAUGUUCUUUAAUUUGUACCAUUCCUUCAAAUAAAGAAAUUUGG